GAUGAACGCUGGCGGCGUGCCUAAUACAUGCAAGUCGAGCGAACAGACGAGGAGCUUGCUCCUCUGACGUUAGCGGCGGACGGGUGAUUAACACGUGGAUAACCUACCUAUAAGACUGAGAUAACUUCGGGAAACCUGAUCUAAUACCGGAUAAUAUAUUGAACGGCAGGGUUCAAUAGUGAAAGACGGUUUUGCUGUCACUUAUAGAUGUAUCCGCGCCGCAUUAGCUAGUUGGUAAGGUAACGGCUUACCAAGGCAACGAUGCGUAGCCGACCUGAGAGGGUGAUCGGCCACACCGGAACUGAGACACGGUCCAGACUCCUACGGGAGGCAGCAGUAGGGAAUAUUCCGCAAUGGGCGAAAGCUUGAUGGAGCCAUGCCGCGUGAGUGAUGAAGGUCUUCGGAUUGUAAAACUCUGUUAUUAGGGAAGAACAAAUGUGUAAGUAACUAUGCACGUCUUGACGGUACCUAAUCAGAAAGCAACGGCUAACUACGUG
rnacentral:rRNA from 1 species